rnacentral:rRNA from 1 species
UACGUAGGGGGCAAGCGUUGUCCGGAUUUAUUGGGCGUAAAGAGCGUGUAGGCGGCCAGGUAGGUCAGCUGUGAAAACUCGAGGCUCAACCUCGAGCUGUCGGCUGAAACCAUCUGGCUAGAGUCCGGAAGAGGAGAAUGGAAUUCCCGGUGUAGCGGUGAAAUGCGCAGAUAUCGGGAGGAACACCGGUGGCGAAGGCGGGUCUCUGGGCCGAUACUGACGCUGAGGAGCGAAAGCGUGGGGAGCGAACAGG